UACGUAGGGACCAAGCGUUGUUCGGAUUUACUGGGCGUAAAGGGCGCGUAGGCGGCUUGACAAGUCACUUGUGAAAUCUCCGGGCUUAACUCGGAACGGCCAAGUGAAACUGUCAUGCUAGAGUGCAGAAGGGGCAAUCGGAAUUCUUGGUGUAGCGGUGAAAUGCGUAGAUAUCAAGAGGAACACCAGUGGCGAAGGCGGCUCACUGGUCCGGUACUGACGCUGAGGUGCGAAAGCGUGGGGAGCAAACAGG
rnacentral:rRNA from 1 species